GGAUGUGAGGGUGAUCUGGCUGUGACAUCUGUCACCCCAUUGAUCGCCAGGGUUGAUUCAGCUGAUCUGGCUGGCCAGGUGGGUGUCCCUUUCCUCCUCACUGCUCCAUGUGCAUCUCUCCCGAAGCUGCGUGCUUGGUCAAAGAGGACAACCAUCCCCACUAGAGGAGGACCGUUCUUCGGUCAAGUGUAUAUGAGUACCUGGCCAGAGUGACUCAGCUUACUUCCCCAAACUCUAGUGUGUUCCUUCAUUGUUCAUUCAUUCAGA
rnacentral:snRNA from 1 species